rnacentral:rRNA from 1 species
AAUAGAUACCCAGGUAGUCCACGCCGUAAACGAUGGGUGCUAGGUGUGGGCGGUGUCGACUCCGUCCGUGCCGUAGCUAACGCAUUAAGCACCCCGCCUGGGGAGUACGGCCGCAAGGCUAAAACUCAAAGGAAUUGACGGGGGCCCGCACAAGCGGCGGAGCAUGCGGAUUAAUUCGAUGCAACGCGAAGAACCUUACCAAGGCUUGACAUGAACCAGACCGGGCUGGAAACAGUCCUUCUCCUUGUGGGUUGGUUUACAGGUGGUGCAUGGUUGUCGUCAGCUCGUGUCGUGAGAUGUUGGGUUAAGUCCCGCAACGAGCGCAACCCUCGUUCUAUGUUGCCAGCACGUGAUGGUGGGGACUCAUAGGAGACUGCCGGGGUCAACUCGGAGGAAGGUGGGGAUGACGUCAAGUCAUCAUGCCCCUUAUGUCUUGGGCUACACACGUGCUACAUUGGCCGGUACAAAGGGCUGCAAAACCGCGAGGGUGAGCUAAUCUCCAAAAGCCGUCUCAGUUCGGAUUGUUCU